AUCAGGUGGCAUAGUGCUUAAUGCUGUUGUCUUAUAGCCAAAAGAUGAUGGUUCGAGCCCAUUUCCUGUUG
rnacentral:tRNA from 1 species